GCCGGGCGUGGUGGCGCACGCCUGUAGUCCUAGCUAUUCAGGAGCCUGAGGCAGGAGAAUUGCUUGAACCCGGGAGGCUGAGGGUGCAGUGAGCCGAGAUCGCGCCACUGCACUCCAGCCUGGGUGACAGAGCAAGACUCCAUCUCGA
rfam:Homo sapiens chromosome 7, GRCh38 reference primary assembly.